GAUGAACGCUAGCUACAGGCUUAACACAUGCAAGUCGAGGGGCAGCACUAGGUAGCAAUACUGAGGUGGCGACCGGCGCACGGGUGCGUAACGCGUAUCCAACCUUCCCGUUACUCUUGGAUAGCCUUCCGAAAGGGAGAUUAAUACAAGAUGGUAUUCAAAUUCCGCAUGUUAUUUGAAUUAAAGAUUUAUCGGUAACGGAUGGGGAUGCGUGACAUUAGAUAGUAGGCGGGGUAACGGCCCACCUAGUCUACGAUGUCUAGGGGUUCUGAGAGGAAGGUCCCCCACACUGGAACUGAGACACGGUCCAGACUCCUACGGGAGGCAGCAGUGAGGAAUAUUGGUCAAUGGUCGGAAGACUGAACCAGCCAAGUAGCGUGAAGGAUGAAGGUUCUAUGGAUUGUAAACUUCUUUUAUACGGGAAUAAAACCUCCCACGUGUGGGAGCUUGUAUGUACCGUAUGAAUAAGCAUCGGCUAACUCCGUG
rnacentral:rRNA from 1 species